GUAGGUGGCAAGCGUUGUCCGGAAUUAUUGGGGCGUAAAGCGCGCGCAGGCGGUUCUUUAAGUCUGAUGUGAAAGCCCACGGGCUCAACCGUGGAGGGUCAUUGGAAACUGGAGAGCUUGAGUACAGAAGAGGAAAGCGGAAUUCCACGUGUAGCGGUGAAAUGCGUAGAGAUGUGGAGGAACACCAGUGGCGAAGGCGGCUUUCUGGUCUGUAACAGACGCUGAGGCGCGAAAGCGUGGGGAGCAAACAGGAUUAGAUACCCUGGUAGUCCACGCCGUAAACGAUGAGUGCUAAGUGUUAGGGGGUUUCCGCCCCUUAGUGCUGCAGCUAACGCAUUAAGCACUCCGCCUGGGGAGUACGGCCGCAAGGCUG
rnacentral:rRNA from 1 species